UACGUAGGACGCAAGCGUUGUCCGGAAUUAUUGGGCGUAAAGAGCUCGUAGGCGGUUUGUCACGUCUGCUGUGAAAAUCCGAGGCUCAACCUCGGACCUGCAGUGGGUACGGGCAGACUAGAGUGUGGUAGGGGAGACUGGAAUUCCUGGUGUAGCGGUGGAAUGCGCAGAUAUCAGGAAGAACACCAAUGGCGAAGGCAGGUCUCUGGGCCACAACUGACGCUGAGGCGCGACAGCGUGGGGAGCAAACAGG
rnacentral:rRNA from 1 species